CCUGCCCACUGAAUUUAUUUUGAAGGGCCGCAGUAUUUUGACUGUGCAAAGGUAGCAUAAUCAUUAGUCUUUUAAUUGAAGGCUGGUAUGAAUGGUUGGAUGAGGUACAAGCUGUGUCAUAAAAAUUAGUUUUUGAAUUUACCUUUUUAGUCAAAAGGCUAAAAUAGCAUUAAAAGACGAGAAGACCCUAUAGAGCUUUAUAUAAUUUUUAUUUAAAUUAUUAAGAUUUCUUAAAUUUAAUUAUUUCAUUAUAUUUUGUUGGGGUGACAAUAAAAUUUAUAAAACUUUUAUUUUUAUUUACCAUUAAUAUAUGUUUAUAUGAUCCAGUUUUAUUGAUUAUAAAUUUAAGUUACCUUAGGGAUAACAGCGUAAUUUUUUUUGAGAGUUCUUAUCGACAAAAAAGAUUGCGACCUCGAUGUUGGAUUAAGAGUAAUUUUGGGUGUAGAAGUUCAAAGUUUAAGUCUGUUCGACUUUUAAAUUCUUACAU
rnacentral:rRNA from 1 species